AACGAACGCUGGCGGCGUGCCUAAGACACGCAAGUCGUACGGAAAGGCCCCCUUCGGGGGGCACUCGAGUGGCGCACGGGUGAGUAACGCGUGGGUACUCUGCCUUAGGGUCUAGGACAACCCCGGGAAACUGGGGCUAAUACUGGAUAAGACCACGAGCUCCUCGGAGCUUGCGGGAAAAGAUGGCCUCUCCUUGGAAGCUAUCGCCCUUCGAUGAGCCCGCGUCCCAUUAGCUAGUUGGUGAGGUGACGGCUCACCAAGGCUUUGAUGGGUAGCUGGUCUGAGAGGAUGAUCAGCCACACUGGAACUGAGACACGGUCCAGACUCCUACGGGAGGCAGCAGUCGGGAAUUUUGGGCAAUGGGCGAAAGCCUGACCCAGCAACGCCGCGUGAGGGAUGAAGGCCCUCGGGUCGUAAACCUCUGUCGGGAGGGAAGAACGGUUCACGUUCGAACAGGACGGGAGCCUGACGGUACCUCCAAAGGAAGCACCGGCUAACUCCGUGCCAGCCGCCGCGGUAA
rnacentral:rRNA from 1 species